UGCUGGGCAUGGGGAGCUGCUUCUCCUGUGCCCACACAAGAUCAUGGCAACACGUGGGGAUUUGGAUUUGGUGUGGGAGGGAAUGCAGCAAGUGAGUAGUUUUGUACUGAGAGAGCCAAACAGAAGCUGCACUGCUGGUGCCACAUGGAUGCUUUGUGAGACAGAUUUCCAAGGGACAGCUUUUGUGGUGUCUGAAAUAAGGGAAUCAUCUCUUCUCUGAAUACCCAGCAGGCUGUUGGAGCAGAAGGGAAGCAGCUAUCAGAGCACUCCAGGAAGGUCGUGGAACAUGUACGGGAUGUGGCUGCAACAUCAGCAAAAGACAAGACAGAGAAUCUUGGAUCAACCACUGUGCCCAGGAGGACUCUCGAGCAGGUGGAACCUGAAGGAAGAAGAAUCAGAACUUUUAGGAGAGUGUUCCCCCCAGAGUCCUUUACGUUCAGUGUCUCCAAGUCUGAGCAGCAAAAUAGGUCAACUUCUGAAAGAAGCUCCAGCUUCUCAGGGGAGCAGCAGUAGCCCUCCUGCUGAUGCACAGCCUGUGGAGCAAGGGGUGUCCCUGCUGCAGUCACAGCUGGCCCGAGACCGACAGCACCACCUGGAGAGCUGUGCAGGGAGCAGGCACGAGACACUCCCGUUGAGUCACAGGGAGCAGAAGGGAUCUCCUUGCUUCCUAAACUUCUCAGAGAGGAGCCAUGGAGCAGCUGGAUGUAGUAUUAGCCUUAGAUUUUGUCACUAGUUUAUGUUUAAAGCAUAGUUAUAGGUG